ACCCUUGUCCCUAGUUGCCAGCACUUCGGGUGGGAACUCUAGGGAGACUGCCGGUGACAAACCGGAGGAAGGUGGGGAUGACGUCAAGUCAUCAUGGCCCUUAUGGGCUGGGCUACACACGUGCUACAAUGGCCGGUACAGAGGGUUGCCAACCCGCGAGGGGGAGCCAAUCUCAGAAAACCGGUCGUAGUCCGCAGUCUGCAACUCGACUGCGUGAAGUCGGAAUCGCUAGUAAUCGCUAGAUCAGCANU
rnacentral:rRNA from 1 species